GAUGAACGCUGGCGGCGUGCCUAAUACAUGCAAGUCGAGCGAACGGACGAGAAGCUUGCUUCUCUGAUGUUAGCGGCGGACGGGUGAGUAACACGUGGAUAACCUACCUAUAAGACUGGGAUAACUUCGGGAAACCGGAGCUAAUACCGGAUAAUAUUUUGAACCGCAUGGUUCAAAAGUGAAAGACGGUCUUGCUGUCACUUAUAGAUGGAUCCGCGCUGCAUUAGCUAGUUGGUAAGGUAACGGCUUACCAAGGCAACGAUGCAUAGCCGACCUGAGAGGGGGGGCGGCAACACUGGAACGGGGACGGGGCCCAGACGCCUGGGGGAGGCGCGAGUGGGGAAGUUGCGGGAGGGGGCGAAGGCCGGAGGGGGCAGCGGCGGGUGAGUGAGGAGGGUCUUGGGAUCGUAAAACUCUUUUAUUGGGAAAAAACAUAUGUGUAGGAAACUGUGCACAUCUGGCCGGUACCUAAUAAAAAAGCCACGGCUAACUACGCG
rnacentral:rRNA from 1 species